GUCGGGAACUCGAAGGAGACUGCCAGUGAUAAACGGGAGGAAGGUGGGGAUGACGUCAAGUCAGCAUGGCCCUUACGACCAGGGCUACACACGUGCUACAGUGGCGCAUACAAAGAGAAGCGACCUCGCGAGAGCAAGCGGACCUCAUAAAGUGCGUCGUAGUCGGGGUUGGAGUCUGCAACUCGGCUCCAUGAAGUCGGAAUCGCUAGUAAUCGUGGAUCAAAAUGCCACGGUGAAUACGUUCCCGGG
rnacentral:rRNA from 1 species